AUGAGGGAGAUAGAGAGAGAGAGAAGAGAGAGAAAGGGGGGGAGGGUAGGAGGAGGGGAGAGAAGGAGAGAGGGAGAGGGAAGGAGGGAGAGAAGGAGAGGGAAGAGAGAGAAAGAGGGGGGAGGGAUGGAGGAGGGGAGAGGAGGAGGGGAGAGAAGAAGAGAGGGAGAGGCAGAGGGAGGGUGGAAGAGGGAGGGAGGGAGGGAGGAAAAGGGGGGGAGAGGGAGAGAAAUUGAUUACUUCUUGUCGAGUAUGUUACAUGGAGAAUCUUACUUAGGUGUAGCUGGAUUAAAUGACCUCUGGCUUUGUUUGUUCUGUCAGGAAGACAGGGCAGAGGUUUUCCUACUGGAAAGGAAGAAUGGCGCGGGCUGCAUUUUGGUGGAGAGUAAUUUGUUCUGCACCUUGGACAAAGUCAUGGUGCUUGGAGGCUUCAUGAUGGGUGGUGGAGGAGAUGACUUUGCAAACUGCCAGAAAUCCUGGAUUCCCCAAUGGCUAACAGAGGAAUGGGGCGGACCCAAAGGGAUCCAGUAUAAAUUAACCCCAGAGACAAAAUCAGCUCUUUACACUUGGGGUAGGAGGCUUUUCUCUUUGGUAAUCAGUUGUAUUUUUUAAUGAGUUUUCAUUAAAAUAAUAGCUAGCCCCUGCAUGAUGGAAUCUUAGUAAAGGUGGAAAAGUUAUUACAUACAUCAUUUCAAUGAGAAGGCUUGUUUUUGCUGAGUAAUCGCAAAUGCUUCAUUGAACUUGUCUUUAGAGCCUUCUAAUGAUAAAGUUCUUAUGGUCUUUGGGAAGGGAGCUUCCUUGAAAGACUUCCAAAAUCUCACUUUUCUUACUGAUAUUCACUUUAAGUUUUUUCAUGUAGUCUUAAAAUAUUUAUUAUGAACAUAACAUUAAGCAUCAAUUCUACCAGAUAAAUUUGCUUUGUAAUGACUUACAUUUAGAUCAAUGAAUCACAGUGCAUAAAAUGCCACAACAAUUCCUCCAGUUCUUCUGUGUCUCCAUCAGAAUACCCCAGAGGUACCCACCAUAGCCGCCCCCUCUCAGUGAUGACAUCUGUCCCCACAGGUUUGAUUAUCAUCUUCAUGCAGAUGGUGCCCAGAUCUCUGUAUCUAGCCCUUGUCUCUUUCCUGAGCUCCAGGAGACCAACUGUCUAAUGGACAUCUCCAUCAGGAUGUUCUGUUUGCUUCUUGAACUUAACGUGCUCCACGGAGAACCCUUUAUAUUUCCUCCUAAGACUACCUGACCUCCCAAUUUAACUCCUCUGUGGAAGAUACCACCCUCCUCUCAUUUCCCCAGGUUUGCAACCUUGGAGUCAUGUUGGACUCUUCAUUUUCAUUGAUCUCCUCUAUCUAAUCAAUGGCCAAGUCUUCUCACUUGGACAACACAUUUAUGCCUCUCAUCACAUGCUAUGGCCAGCUCCCUGGAACUGAUUCACUUGACAUUCCCCACUCAGUGUGUUCCACCUCGCACCUCCUGCCUUUGCUGCAACCCCCCCCCCUUCAUCCUUACUUCCAACUCCUAGAGCCCCUUCUUGACUUCAAGACUUGGUAGAAGGACCACUUCUUCUAAGAGGCCCACCAGGAUUCCCUGAGUUAUUAGUGCUUCCCCUCUGUCC
ensembl:lncRNA